rnacentral:rRNA from 1 species
UGAGGAAUAUUGGUCAAUGGGUGCAAGCCUGAACCAGCCAUCCCGCGUGAAGGACGACUGCCCUAUGGGUUGUAAACUUCUUUUGUAUAGGGAUAAACCUACCCUCGUGAGGGUAGCUGAAGGUACUAUACGAAUAAGCACCGGCUAACUCCGUGCCAGCAGCCGCGGUAAUACGGAGGGUGCAAGCGUUAUCCGGAUUUAUUGGGUUUAAAGGGUCCGUAGGCGGACUUAUAAGUCAGUGGUGAAAGCCUGUCGCUUAACGAUAGAACUGCCAUUGAUACUGUAAGUCUUGAGUAUAUUUGAGGUAGCUGGAAUAAGUAGUGGAGCGGUGAAAUGCAUAGAUAUUACUUAGAACACCAAUUGCGAAGGCAGGUUACCAAGAUAUAACUGACGCUGAGGGACGAAAGCGUGGGGAGCGAACA